rnacentral:rRNA from 1 species
UACGAAGGGGGCUAGCGUUGCUCGGAAUGACUGGGCGUAAAGGGCGCGUAGGCGGAUGGUACAGUCAGAUGUGAAAUUCCCGGGCUCAACCUGGGGGCUGCAUUUGGUACGUAUGAUCUUGAGUGGGGAAGAGGGUCGUGGAAUUCCCAGUGUAGAGGUGAAAUUCGUAGAUAUCAGGAAGAACACCCGUGGCGAAGGCGGCUCACUGGCCCGGUACUGACGCUGAGGUGCGAAAGCGUGGGGAGCAAACAGG